rnacentral:rRNA from 1 species
AACGCGAAGAACCUUACCUACUCUUGACAUCCAGAGAAUUUAGCAGAGAUGCUUUAGUGCCUUCGGGAACUCUGAGACAGGUGCUGCAUGGCUGUCGUCAGCUCGUGUUGUGAAAUGUUGGGUUAAGUCCCGCAACGAGCGCAACCCUUAUCCUUUGUUGCCAGCGAUUCGGUCGGGAACUCAAAGGAGACUGCCGGUGAUAAACCGGAGGAAGGUGGGGAUGACGUCAAGUCAUCAUGGCCCUUACGAGUAGGGCUACACACGUGCUACAAUGGCGUAUACAAAGAGAAGCGACCUCGCGAGAGCAAGCGGAACUCAUAAAGUACGUCGUAGUCCGGAUUGGAGUCUGCAACUCGACUCCAUGAAGUCGGAAUCGCUAGUAAUCGUAGAUCAGAAUGCUACGGUGAAUACGUUCCCGGGUCUUGUACACACCG